UGCAUGUGCCUGCCAGAGGACCAAACUCUGAAUUUUAGUGAUGUCUGAGUACUAUAUAAUAGUUAAAACUUUCAACAACGGAUCUCUUGGUUCUGGCAUCGAUGAAGAACGCAGCGAAAUGCGAUAAGUAAUGUGAAUUGCAGAAUUCAGUGAAUCAUCGAAUCUUUGAACGCACAUUGCGCCCUGUGGUAUUCCGCAGGGCAUGCCUGUUCGAGCGUCAUUAUAACCACUCAAGCCUCGCUUGGUGUUGGGGUUCGCAGCUCUGCGGCCUCUAAAAUCAGUGGCGGUGCCUGUAGGCUCUGAGCGUAGUAAUUCUCCUCGCUAUAGAGUCCUAUUGGGUUCCCAGCCAAAACCCCCAUAUUUUUUAUAGGUUGACCUCGGAUCAGGUAGGGAUACCCGCUGAACUUAAGC
rnacentral:rRNA from 1 species